rnacentral:snRNA from 1 species
GCUCACUUUGUCAGAACAUAUAUUAAAAAUGGAGCAAUACAGAGAUGGACGCUCCUGCACAAGGAUAACAUGUAAAUCUGUAAAGCGUAUCCAUUUUUC